ensembl:snoRNA small nucleolar RNA, C/D box 35B
GGCAGAUGAUGUCUUUUCACGAUGGUCUUCAGAUGCCCACCGCGGGCACUGCUGAAAAAACCACUUGGCAUAGCUGAUGUCAGCGG